UAUUAGAAAAAUUCAUCCAUACCAUUUGUACUAUUAAAAAAUAGUGUGACCGAUAAAAUAAUCAGACAGUCAUAUGUGGCAUGUUAUGUGUACCUCAUACUGACAUAUAGAAACCAAUUUUUAACAAUAAAAAUGGAUGAAAUUUUCAACA
rfam:Gossypium raimondii Chr11_contig_33, whole genome shotgun sequence.